rnacentral:tRNA from 1 species
UAUUUAUUAGUGUACGACGCACAGGAAUUUUUGAUAUUUCAAGAACAGUUUAAUUCUGUAUUAAAUAA